rnacentral:rRNA from 1 species
UACGUGGGGGGCAAGCGUUGUUCGGAAUUACUGGGCGUAAAGGGCUCGUAGGUGGCCCACUAAGUCAGACGUGAAAUCCCCAGGCUCAACUUGGGAACUGCGUCUGAUACUGGAUGGCUUGAAUUCGGGAGAGGGAUGCAGAAUUCCAGGUGUAGCGGUGAAAUGCGUAGAUAUCUGGAGGAAUACCGGUGGCGAAGGCGGCAUCCUGGACCGAUAUUGACACUCAGUGAGCGAAAGCCAGGGGAGCAAACGGG